GACGAACGCUGGCGGCGUGCCUAAUACAUGCCAGUAGAACGCAGUUGCGAACGGGUGAGUAACGCGUAGGUAACUCCCUCAUAGCGGGGGAUAACUCUUGGAAACGCUAGCUAAUACCGCAUAAUAUGAGAUGGACCUGCGUUGGAUUAGCUAGUUGGUGAGGUACCGGCGCACCAAGGCGACGCUACAUAGCCGACCUGAGCGGGGGAUCGGCCAAACAGGGAAUGAAAACCGGCCCAGACGCCGACGGGAGGCAGGAAUAGGGGAUUGUCGGAAAUGGACGGAAGUCUGGCCGAGGAACGCCGCGUGAGUGAAGAAAGGUUUCGGAUCGUAAAGCUCUGUUGUUAGAGAAGCGGUAACUAACCAAAAAGGGACGGCUAACUACGGGCCAGCAGCCGCGGGAAUAC
rnacentral:rRNA from 1 species